GACGAACGCUGGCGGCGUGCCUAAUACAUGCAAGUUGAGCGCUGAAGGUUGGUACUUGUACCAACUGGAUGAGCAGCGAACGGGUGAGUAACGCGUGGGGAAUCUGCCUUUGAGCGGGGGACAACAUUUGGAAACGAAUGCUAAUACCGCAUAAAAACUUUAAACACAAGUUUUAAGUUUGAAAGAUGCAAUUGCAUCACUCAAAGAUGAUCCCGCGUUGUAUUAGCUAGUUGGUGAGGUAAAGGCUCACCAAGGCGAUGAUACAUAGCCGACCUGAGAGGGUGAUCGGCCACAGUGGGACUGAGACACGGCCCAAACUCCUACGGGAGGCAGCAGUAGGGAAUCUUCGGCAAUAGACGAAAGUCUGACCGAGCAACGCCGCGUGAGUGAAGAAGGUUGUCGGAUCGUAAAACUCUGUUGGUAGAGAAGAACGUUGGUGAGAGUGGAAAGCUCAUCAAGUGACGGUAACUACCCAGAAAGGGACGGCUAACUACGUG
rnacentral:rRNA from 1 species